rnacentral:hammerhead_ribozyme from 1 species
AUCCAGAUGACGAAUCCCAAAUAGGAAGAAAUGCGCGUCCUGGAU